AUUGAACGCUGGCGGCAGGCCUAACACAUGCAAGUCGAGCGGAUGAAGGGAGCUUGCUCCUGGAUUCAGCGGCGGACGGGUGAGUAAUGCCUAGGAAUCUGCCUGGUAGUGGGGGAUAACGUCCGGAAACGGGCGCUAAUACCGCAUACGUCCUGAGGGAGAAAGUGGGGGAUCUUCGGACCUCACGCUAUCAGAUGAGCCUAGGUCGGAUUAGCUAGUUGGUGGGGUAAAGGCCUACCAAGGCGACGAUCCGUAACUGGUCUGAGAGGAUGAUCAGUCACACUGGAACUGAGACACGGUCCAGCCUCCUACGGGAGGCAGCAGUGGGGAAUAUUGGACAAUGGGCGAAAGCCUGAUCCAGCCAUGCCGCGUGUGUGAAGAAGGUCUUCGGAUUGUAAAGCAAUUUAAGUUGGGAGGAAGGGCAGUAAGUUAAUACCUUGCUGUUUUGACGUUACCAACAGAAUAAGCACCGGCUAACUUCGUG
rnacentral:rRNA from 1 species